rnacentral:rRNA from 1 species
AACGAACGCUGGCGGCAUGCCUAACACAUGCAAGUCGAACGAGACGUCCGGGCCUUGUGGCGCACGGCUGCGUACCGCGUGGGAACCUGCCCUUAGGUUCGGAAUCACUCCCCGAAGGGGGUGUUAAUACCGGAUAAUCUCUUCGGACCAAAGAUUUAUCGCCUUUGGAUGGGCCUGGGUUGGAUUAGCUAGUUGGUAGGGUAAAAGCCUACUAAGGCGACGUUCCAUAGCUGGUCUGUGAGGAUGAUCAGCCACACUGGGACUGAGACACGGCCCAGACUCCUACGGGAAGCAGCAGUGGGGAAUAUUGGACAAUGGGCGAAAGCCUGAUCCAGCAAUGCCGCGGGAGUGAUGAAGGCCUUAGGGUUGUAAAGCUCUUUUACCCGGGAUGAUAAUGACAGUACCGGGAGAAUAAGCACCGGCUAACUCCGUG